GACUACGAAAAAGAGUGGCCCUUAGCUGC
rnacentral:sRNA from 1 species